GAACUGCGAUAAGUAAUGUGAAUUGCAGAAUUCAGUGAAUCAUCGAGUCUUUGAACGCACAUUGCGCCCCCUGGCAUUCCGGGGGGCAUGCCUGUCCGAGCGUCAUUGCUGCCCUUCAAGCCCGGCUUGUGUGUUGGGUCGUCGUCCCCCUCGGGGGACGGGCCCGAAAGGCAGCGGCGGCACCGUGUCCGGUCCUCGAGCGUAUGGGGCUUUGUCACCCGCUCGAUUAGGGCCGGCCGGGCGCCAGCCGGCGUCUCCAACCUUAUUUUUCUCAGGUUGACCUCGGAUCAGGUAGGGAUACCCGCUGAACUGAAG
rnacentral:misc_RNA from 1 species